AUAGGUGUAGCUCAUUGAUAGAGCACUUACCUAGCAAGUGAAAGGCCCUGGGUUUGAUCCCCAGUGCCAAGA
rnacentral:tRNA from 1 species